GCGCCGGUGGUGAUAGGUGAACAUCUUUGCCCGGAAAGCAGAAGAUGCGGGUUCGAGUCCCGCCUGGCGCA
rfam:Heligmosomoides polygyrus genome assembly, scaffold: HPBE_contig0000153